GACGAACGCUGGCGGCAGGCCUAACACAUGCAAGUCGAGCGAGACCUUCGGGUCUAGCGGCGGACGGGUGAGUAACGCGUGGGAACGUGCCCUUUGGUACGGAAUAGCCCCGGGAAACUGGGAGUAAUACCGUAUAAGCUCUUCGGAGGAAAGAUUUAUCGCCAAAGGAUCGGCCCGCGUUGGAUUAGGUAGUUGGUGGGGUAAUGGCCUACCAAGCCGACGAUCCAUAGCUGGUUUGAGAGGAUGAUCAGCCACACUGGGACUGAGACACGGCCCAGACUCCUACGGGAGGCAGCAGUGGGGAAUCUUAGACAAUGGGGAAACCCUGAUCUAGCCAUGCCGCGUGAUCGAUGAAGGCCUUAGGGUUGUAAAGAUCUUUCAGGUGGGAAGAUAAUGACUGUACCACCAGAAGAAGCCCCGGCUAACUCCGUG
rnacentral:rRNA from 1 species